rnacentral:rRNA from 1 species
UAGCCGUAAACGAUACUCGCUAGGUGUCGGCCACGGUGCGACCGUUGUCGGUGCCGUAGGGAAGCCGUGAAGCGAGCCACCUGGGAAGUACGGCCGCAAGGCUGAAACUUAAAGGAACUGGCGGGGGAGCACAACAACGGGUGGAGCUUGCGGUUUAAUUGGAUUCAACGCCGAAAAUCUUACCGGGACCGACAGCAACAUGAAGGCCAAGCUGAAGACUUUGCCGGAUUAGCUGAGAGGAGGUGCAUGGCGUAGUCGUGU